GGAAAUGUCCCGUAACUUCCGGUAGCUUGUAAUCAGGAAGUAAACAAGAGCAUGGCUCAGAGACGCUGUCUUCAUUAGUUUUGUAAUCCAGUGGAAUCUGCAUACAUCUUGUACCUUUUGAUAGCAUCGUUGUUUUACACUUUCCUAUGUCAAUAAACCUGUGGACAACGGACAA